rnacentral:rRNA from 1 species
UGCCAGCCGCCGCGGUAAUACGGAGGUCCCAAGCGUUGUUCGGAUUUACUGGGCGUAAAGGGUGCGUAGGUGGCCAGGAAAGUUUGAUGUGAAAGCUCCGAGCUCAACUCGGAAAAUGCAUUGAAUACUACUUGGCUUGAGGAUCGGAGGGGAGACUGGAAUUCUCGGUGUAGCAGUGAAAUGCGUAGAUAUCGAGAGGAACACCAGUGGCGAAGGCGAGUCUCUGGACGAUUCCUGACACUGAGGCACGAAAGCUAGGGGAGCAAACAGGAUUAGAUA